GAGCAANCAGGAUUAGAUACCCUGGUAGUNCACGCCGUAAACGAUGAGUGCUAGGUGUUAGACCCUUUCCGGGGUUUAGUGCCGCAGCUAACGCAUUAAGCACUCCGCCUGGGGAGUACGACCGCAAGGUUGAAACUCAAAGGAAUUGACGGGGGCCCGCACAAGCGGUGGAGCAUGUGGUUUAAUUCGAAGCAACGCGAAGAACCUUACCAGGUCUUGACAUCCCUCUGACCGCUCUAGAGAUAGAGCUUUCCUUCGGGACAGAGGUGACAGGUGGUGCAUGGUUGUCGUCAGCUCGUGUCGUGAGAUGUUGGGUCAAGUCCCGCAACGAGCGCAACCCCUAUUGUUAGUUGCCAUCAUUCAGUUGGGCACUCUAGCGAGACUGCCGGUAAUAAACCGGAGGAAGGUGGGGAUGACGUCAAAUCAUCAUGCCCCUUAUGACCUGGGCUACACACGUGCUACAAUGGCUGGUACUACGAGUCGCAAGCCGGUGACGGCAAGCUAAUCUCUUAAAGCCAGUCUCAGUUCGGAUUGUAGGCUGCAACUCGCCUACAUGAAGUCGGAAUCGCUAGUAAUCGCGGAUCAGCACGCCGCGGUGAAUACGUUCCCGGGCCUUGUACACACCGCCCGUCACACCACGAGAGUUUGUAACAC
rnacentral:rRNA from 1 species